rnacentral:rRNA from 1 species
CCUACGGGUGGCAGCAGUGAGGAAUAUUGGUCAAUGGGCGCGAGCCUGAACCAGCCAAGCCGCGUGAAGGAUGACUGCCCUACGGGUUGUAAACUUCUUUUAUAAAGGAAUAAAGUGAGGCACGUGUGCCUUUUUGUAUGUACUUUAUGAAUAAGGAUCGGCUAACUCCGUGCCAGCAGCCGCGGUAAUACGGAGGAUCCGAGCGUUAUCCGGAUUUAUUGGGUUUAAAGGGAGCGUAGAUGGGUUUUUAAGUCAGUUGUGAAAGUUUGCGGCUCAACCGUAAAAUUGCAAUUGAUAAUGGCAGUCUUGAGUACAGGUGAGGUAGGCGGAAUUCGUGGUGUAGCGGGGAAAUGCUUAGAUAUCACGAAGAACUCCGAUUGCGAAGGCAGCUUACUAAACUGCAACUGACCUUGAUGCUCGAAAGUGUGGGGAUCAAACAGGAUUAGAUAACCCUGUAGUC